UUGAAUAAUGUUUCUAAAUGGGUUGUAGCUGGCUCUUUGGAGCAUGUGCACACCUGUUUAGACUUCAUUUUCAUCCACCUGUGCACUUUUUGUAGUCUUUGGCUGGGUAUCGAGGAAGUGGUCUACCUCUCAGCAUUUGCUGGAUGUGAGGGCUUGCAGUGUGUGAAAAGCUUUGCUGUCCUUUACUUGACCACGGAGUCGUUUUCUCACCAGAGUCUAUGUCAUUCAUUAUACACUAUUGUAUGUCUUUGAAUGUAUUUACAUGGGCUCCUAUGCCUAUAAUAAUGAUAAUA
rnacentral:misc_RNA from 1 species